rfam:Brachypodium distachyon strain Bd21 chromosome 5, whole genome shotgun sequence.
GUGGUACUCGCUCCGUCCAACGAAAGAUGUAUCAAAUUUGUCAAAAUUUAAAUGUAUCUAGCCAUGACUUAGUAUAUAGAUGCAUUCAAAUUUAAUCAAAAUUGAGACAUACUUUGUUGGACGGAGGGAAUAUAAU